UACGUAGGGGGCAAGCGUUGUCCGGAAUCAUUGGGCGGAAAGCGCGUGUAGGCGGCCAGAAAAGUCCGCUGUGAAAACUCGAGGCUCAACCUCGAGCUGUCGGUGGAAACUUUCUGGCUAGAGUCCGGAAGAGGAGAAUGGAAUUCCUGGUGUAGCGGUGAAAUGCGCAGAUAUCAGGAAGAACACCCGUGGCGAAGGCGGUUCUCUGGGACGGUACUGACGCUGAGACGCGAAAGCGUGGGGAGCGAACAGG
rnacentral:rRNA from 1 species